UACGUAGGCAGCGAGCGUUGUUCGGAGUUACUGGGCGUAAAGGGUGUGUAGGCGGUUGUUUAAGUUUGGUGUGAAAUCUCCCGGCUCAACUGGGAGGGUGCGCCGAAUACUGAAUGACUUGGAGUGCGGGAGAGGAGAGUGGAAUUCCUGGUGUAGCGGUGAAAUGCGCAGAUAUCAGGAAGAACACCCGUGGCGAAGGCGGCUCUCUGGGACGGUACUGACGCUGAGACGCGAAAGCGUGGGGAGCGAACAGG
rnacentral:rRNA from 1 species